rnacentral:lncRNA from 1 species
AUCCGCGCCCCUAUCCGGCGCGGGCCGCUGCGGAAACGCAGCUCUCCACCCCCAGCUGGCUCUCCCGGACCCCCUGGGCCCCACCCUCAGCGCUCCCCACCGCUCGGCGCCCCUGCGUCUGCGCUCCCCUCUCUCCCCUCUCUAUCCACUGGGUCUGGGCCGCACUUCCCGCCCACCCGCCUGCCAGCGGCCGGGAAGCCUGUGGAAGUUAUGGGGAUGCAGGGAGAGGGGGAGAGGGGAGCUUGUGUGCUAGGGGACCAGCCAUUUGAGUCAAGCUGGAGACGACGUCUUAGAACCUAGGAUGAGUCUCGUUUGGUUUUAGUCUGCAAAGCUCGUCUGCAUCAGACAGGAAUUUUCCCCAGACGCGGGUGCACGUGAAUUAAUUCAUCAGAAGGCGGUUCACGGCCUGAGUGAGGGGGACGAGGGCGGCGAAUUCCUCCGCCUCAUUCCUACCCUGACGAUUCGAGUUCGUUUCUGCUGCGGCGGCAAGAGGCUGGGGAGCCGAUGACUCACCCUGCCGGCUAAUUGCAGCGUUAAAUAACUUUGCGCCGGAUUCGGUGGCUGCAGCAGGGAACGCGCUCCGGGCGCCGGGGGAGGUGGAGGGACGCCCUGAGAACGCACCUCCGUCCCUGUCACCAGCCUUAGCAAGUUCUGGCCUGUGGAGCCGUCAUCCAGAGCGCACAGCUUCAUGCCCUUGAAGGGCGCAGUGUGUCCCGUGGUGCCCGGUGGGCCCGGACAGAGACCCCAGAGGCUCUGUCUGAAGGAAGCUGCACCCACAGACUCCAUCCAGGCAGCGCGGGCGCGGUCCUGUCGCCUACCUUUCUCGGAAGCCAUCUGCCCAUGUGAAUCUAUGUGAAGGCCCUUCAUGCGCUCCUGGACAUCUGCGUGGGAUUUACUUCAACUGCUAUCGCUGCGAGGAGGACGAGCAUGUUUCACUGUAUUUUUAGCAGAGAGUGCAGAUUUUAGAACCUCGCGAACGGUCCUGUAUCUCCUGCACGAUGACUCUCCAGAACAGGAAUAGUGACCCUUCCUUUGCAUUUAUGGUGCAUAGGUUUUCAAAGGACAGUGUGUAAAUCAGCUUGUGUAAUAAUUGUGGCACCCACGCGCGCAAGCAGACUUACCAUGAGCUGACUUCCACUGAUUAUUUCAGUUUCCAGGGAAACGAGGUUUGCAGCCCCCUCCAGUGAGGGCGGAGCGGCCUCUCCAUUCCCAAUGCAGCAAGGCUGCUGCAGCCACGAUGAUUAGGCUUUGGAGGAGGAAGUGAACGGAUGGGGCCUCAUCCUCCUGCCUCCCUAAAGGGUGAGGGUGGAAGGAUGGGGCUGUGCCCUCUUAGGGCAGGGAAAAACAGCUUGGAGGGGUUUCUGCCAUCAGAGAUCCCAUAGGAGGCAGGUCAGUCCUGCAGAAUUUCUCCCCAGUCUGGCCUCCAGCCUCCCUGGCCCCUUUCUAGAGGCCUCCAUCCCACUGGCGGCUUGCUCCUGCCACCGGGCCUCUGCACAG